rnacentral:rRNA from 1 species
AUUGAACGCUGGCGGCAGGCCUAACACAUGCAAGUCGAGCGAGCGGCGGACGGGUGAGUAAUGUCUGGGAAACUGCCUGAUGGAGGGGGAUAACUACUGGAAACGGUAGCUAAUACCGCAUACCAUCAGAUGUGCCCAGGGGGGAUUAGCUAGUAGGUGGGGUAACGGCUCACCUAGGCGACGAUCCCUAGCUGGUCUGAGAGGAUACCCAGCCACACUGUAACUGAGAGACGAUCCAUACUCCUACGGUAGGCAGCAGUGGGGAAUAUUGCACAAUGGGCGCAAGCCUGAUGCAGCCAUGCCGCGGAUGGUAAGAAGGCUUUCGGGUUGUAAAGCACUUUCAGCGGGGAGGCGUUACCCGCAGAAGAAGCACCGGCUAACUCCGUGCCAGCCGCCGCGGUAAUAC